AACGAACGCUGGCGGCAGGCUUAACACACGCAAGUCGAACGCAUCCUUUUAGGGUGAGUGGCAGACGGGUGAGUAACACGUGGGAACGUGCCCUUCAGUUCGGGAUAACCCAGGGAAACUUGGGCUAAUACCGGAUACGUGCGAGAGCAGAAAGAUUUAUCGCUGAAGGAUCGGCCCGCGUCUGAUUAGCUAGUUGGUGAGGUAAUGGCUCACCAAGGCGACGAUCAGUAGCUGGUCUGAGAGGAUGAUCAGCCACAUUGGGACUGAGACACGGCCCAAACUCCUACGGGAGGCAGCAGUGGGGAAUAUUGGACAAUGGGCGCAAGCCUGAUCCAGCCAUGCCGCGUGAGUGAUGAAGGCCUUAGGGUUGUAAAGCUCUUUCGUCCGGGACGAUAAUGACGGUACCGGAAGAAGAAGCCCCGGCUAACUUCGUGCCAGCAGCCGCAGUAAAAC
rnacentral:rRNA from 1 species